rnacentral:RNase_P_RNA from 1 species
GCCACAGGUCGUUCUAUCGCUGCUCUUUCAGCAAUGAAAGGGGAGAGGAAAGUCCGGGCAACACAGAGCAUCCCACUUCCUAACAGGAAGGCUCUACUUUCGGGUAGGGACAGAAAGUGCCACAGAAAACUAUACCGCCUAUCCGCUUGCGGAAAGGUAAGGGUGAAAAUGUGAGGUAAGAGCUCACAGCUAUGAUUGGCAACAGUGAUAGCGGGUAAACCUUGGGAGUUGAAAAACCAAAUAAACCGGAGAUUGAGGGCUGCUCGCCCAAUUCCGGAGGGUAGGUUGCUUGAUCCUUCCGGUGACGGAAGGGCUAGAUAAAUGAUAGAACUGGUAUUGAACUUGUGUCAAUGCUUGACAGAACCCGGCUUACAGACCUGUUUUUUUC